CAGCCGCCGCGGUAAUACGUAGGGUGCAAGCGUUAAUCGGAAUUACUGGGCGUAAAGCGUGCGCAGGCGGUUUGUUAAGACAGAUGUGAAAUCCCCGGGCUCAACCUGGGAACUGCAUUUGUGACUGGCAAGCUAGAGUCUGGCUGAGGGGGGUGGAAUUCCGCGUGUAGCAGUGAAAUGCGUAGAUAUGCGGAGGAACACCGAUGGCGAAGGCAGCCCCCUGGGCCAACACUGACGCUCAUGCACGAAAGCGUGGGGAGCAAACAGGAUUAGAUACCCCCGUAGUCCCUGUCUCUUAUAC
rnacentral:rRNA from 1 species